UAAGGAAUAUUGGACAAUGGGCGCAAGCCUGAUCCAGCCAUGCCGCGUGCAGGAUGAAGGAGCUCAGCUCUGUAAACUGCUUUUGUUUGGGAAAAAUUCCCUGGUUUCUACCGGGGUUGAUUGUACCAAGAGAAUAAGGGACGGCUAACUUCGUGCCAGCAGCCGCGGUAAUACGAAGGUCCCAAGCGUUAUCCGGAUUUAUUGGGUUUAAAGGGUGCGUAGGCGGGCUAUUAAGUCAGUGGUGAAAGCCUCAAGCUUAACUUGAGAAUUGCCAUUGAUACUGAUGACCUUGAGUACAUUUGAAGUGGGCGGAAUGUGUCAUGUAGCGGUGAAAUGCUUAGAUAUGACACAGAACACCGAUUGCGUAGGCAGCUCACUAAACUGUUACUGACGCUGAGGCACGAAAGCGUGGGGAGCAAACAG
rnacentral:rRNA from 1 species